GGUUACGUGGCCGAGCGGUCUAAGGCGCUGGUUUUAGGCACCAGUCAUUUCGAUGGCUUGGGUUCGAAUCCCACCGCUGCCA
rfam:Ciona savignyi cont_24960, whole genome shotgun sequence.